GACGAACGCUGGCGGCGUGCUUAACACAUGCAAGUCGAACGGUAAGGCCCUUCGGGGUACACGAUUGGCGAACGGGUGAGUAACACGUGGGUGAUCUGCCCUGCACUUCGGGAUAAGCCUGGGAAACUGGGUCUAAUACCGGAUAGGACCACUGCCUGCAUGGGCGGUGGUGGAAAGCUUUUGCGGGGUGGGAUGGGCCGGCGGCCUAUCAGCUUGUUGGUGGGGUGGUGGCCUACCAAGGCGACGCGGGGUGGCCGGCCUGAGAGGGUGACCGGCUGCACGGGGGCGCAGAUACGGCGCAGACUCCUGCGGGAGGCAGCAGUGGGGAAGAGUGGGCAAUGGGCGCGAGGGUGAUGCAGCGACGCGGCGUGAGGGAUGGCGGCCUUCGGGUUGUAAUCGGCGGUCAGCCUCGACGAAGCGCAAGUGACGGUAGGUGCAGAAGAAGGACCGGGCAACUACGUGCCAGCCGCCGCAGUAA
rnacentral:rRNA from 1 species